GACGAACGCUGGCGGCGGGCUUAACACAUGCAAGUCGAACGGAUAAGCCCUGCUUUUGUGUGGUUCUCGAGUGGCGAACGUGUGAAUAACCCAUGAAUAACCUUCCCUGUACUGUGUGAUAACUGCAGGAAACUGGUGCUACUACCGAAUUGGUGCUCCUGCUGCAUGGUGGUGUUUGGAAAUUUUGGGCGGAGUUGGAUGUACUCGCGGCUUAUCAGCUUGUUGGUUGGGUAGUGGCUUACCAAGGCUUUGAAGGGUAGCCGGCCUGAGAGGGUGACCGGCCACAUUGGGACUGAGAUACGGACCAGACUGCAACGGGAGGCAGCAGUGGGGAAUAUGGUACAAUGGGGGGAAGCGUGAUGAGGCAACGCCGGGUGUGGGAUGAAGGCUUUGGGGUUGUAAACCGCUUUAACCUGUGACGAAGCGUGAGUGACGGUAAUGGGUAAAGAAGCACCGGCUAACUACGUG
rnacentral:rRNA from 1 species